AUUGAACGCUGGCGGCAUGCCUUACACAUGCAAGUCGAACGGCAGCACGGGUGCUUGCACCUGGUGGCGAGUGGCGAACGGGUGAGUAAUACAUCGGAACAUGUCCUGUAGUGGGGGAUAGCCCGGCGAAAGCCGGAUUAAUACCGCAUACGAUCUACGGAUGAAAGCGGGGGACCUUCGGGCCUCGCGCUAUAGGGUUGGCCGAUGGCUGAUUAGCGAGUUGGGGGGGUAAAGGCCUACCAAGGCGACGAUCAGUAGCUGGUCUGAGAGGACGACCAGCCACACUGGGACUGAGACACGGCCCAGACUCCUACGGGAGGCAGCAGUGGGGAAUUUUGGACAAUGGGCGAAAGCCUGAUCCAGCAAUGCCGCGUGUGUGAAGAAGGCCUUCGGGUUGUAAAGCACUUUUGUCCGGAAAGAAAUCCUUGGCCCUAAUACGGUCGGGGGAUGACGGUACCGGAAGAAUAAGCACCGGCUAACUACGUG
rnacentral:rRNA from 1 species